GUACAUCUAGAUCCAUACCCCUAAACUCCCUAGAUGCUUUGGAUGGCGCCUUAUGCGCUGUCCCUUUUUU
rfam:Bacillus coagulans 36D1, complete genome.